rnacentral:misc_RNA from 1 species
AUUAUAUUAAAUUUAAAAAUUUUUUUUUUUAUUAGAUCAUGUUUUAUAUAUUCUUAUUAUUAUAAACACAUUCUUUUAACUUUAAUUUCCUUAGAAUUUAUAAUAGUAAAUAUAAUUUAUAAUUUAUAUUAUAUAAUAAUAAUUAAUGAAAUUAAUCUAUUUAUAAUUACAAUUUUUUUAGGAAUUUCUGUAUGUGAAAGAGUAUUAGGAUUAUCUUUAUUAAUUAAUUUAGUACGAUUAAGAGGAAAUGAUUAUAACAAUAACAUAAAAUUAUUAAAAUGUUAA